GAGGGUAUAGCUUAGUGGUAGAGUGCAUGCCUAGCAUGCAUGAGGUCCUGGGUUCAAUCCCCAGGACUGCCA
rnacentral:tRNA from 1 species